GGAAGAAGAAGACGCUGCACGACUACGCGGCGGAGUUCACGGAGCUGGCGGUGAAGCGGCACCUGCUGGAGCGCGGCGCCGCCGGCGAGGCCGCCGUGGUGGAGACGCUCUACUGCACCUCCUGCGAGCUGCCCAUGCGGGUGCGGCGCGACCGCAUCCUCGAGCACCUCUCCUCGGGCCGCCACUACCGCAACCGCCGCCUCGGCCGCCAGCACGGCCUGCGCGCCCCGCUCCUCCUAUCUGCAGGUCCAGACCUUGGCGCUAGCCUCCCCCUCCAGCUCGAUCCUCCUUCCCUGCUUUCUCAGCCUUCCUUUAUCCUCUCGGCCAACCCUUGCAUCACCAGCGCCGGGACCAGCACGAGCUACAGCAUGGUCCCGUCUCCGCCCUCCUGCCCCAAGGCGUUGAUCCCYGUUCCCCCCGGCGCUGUCAGCUCCACAACGAGCAUCGCGUCUGCCAGAGAAGACCAGACGCCCUCUACCUCCACCAGUCGCUCUUCGGCGUUCGCUGCCUUCCAUGUGAGAAGCACGCCCGCUCCCUCAAAGCAGACCGGCCAAAGGCUCCUUGUUCCUGAGGUCUCCGACAGCGCCGUUCCCGGAGGGGCGGCGGGACGGAGCAGCAGUACUGCUAGCAGUAUCGGCAUCGGCCUCGCCCUCUUUGGCGUAGGGCUCGUUGACAAAGCGUUGUUUCAGAGUUUAAUGGAAGAGAAUAGUUGCUGUUUGCUUUACAUCGUGGAAAAUCAGCUGCAGGAGGUGGAACGUGCCUUCAGCGCGGAAUUUUUGGCCAAUACCAGGGUGCUGCGGCAACAGGAUGCUGACGUUGUGCUCAGUGAUCAACGGGUCUCUGGAGCCAUUAUUUCUUCACCACCUGAAGAAGCUUCUGAGAUUGUAAUAGAUGCUUUACGAGCUGGUGGAAUUUUUUAUAAUGCUGCUGUGCAUGAUAUAGAUAUUAUCAGUUUGUUGUUGGGAGAGAGUGCACCAGAUACAGUAUUUUCACUGGGACAUGCAUUCUGUGCAGAUAUGGCCUACUUGAAGGAUGCAGACACUGUAGCGGUCAGCAUGAAAUUCCCUAGCGGAGCAAUUGUCACUUUGGACGUCAGUCAGCACUGCACUAAAAGCUGUGAUCAGAGACUAGAGGUUCAUGGUUCUCAAGGAACGUUACGGGUAGAUAAUCAGAAUCCCUUGGGAAUUACAGAGCAUGGAACUUCUGUAUCCAUCUAUUCACAGACCCACGCCGAUCGUUUCAGAGACGCGCACAGAGAGCUCUUUCGACACUUUCUUAGAACCCUGAAAGGCAAAGAACCUCCCGCGAUAACCAAAGAACAGUUUCUCUGGGCGAUUCAGGUAGCUGCAGCUGCUGAGCAGUCCUGGAGAAAUGGAUCUGCUGUUGACUUGCGCAAUGAAGCAAUAGAUUCRUCUGUAAUCAAGACUGAAAUAAUGUGACACGCACUGCCGGGUUUUGAGGUGAAGGAUAAUCUUUGAGCUGUGCUACAGUGAAGUCGUCUUACCUAGUGAUGUCUCCACUGUUACCUUCCCUACCUAAAAGACUGACUUUUUUACAUUUCCACUGGAAACGCCCAGAACUUGGAGGCACUUUCGAGCUAGAAGGGCUCCGUGCUGGUGCUGCGGAUGCCGCUUAGCACAGCGGCCAGGACCCUCCAGAGAAAUGACGUGCGCUUUUGUCCAGGCGGCGUUUUCUCCUGGAGAGCUUUGUUGCUUGUGGAGUGUUGUUUUCUUGGGAAAAGAGCCGCGCUCCUCGGGAUGCGGUAAGGAGGUGUAAACCACUGCCGCUGCGAUGGGAGCUGCGGAAACGAGACGGCGUAACGCUCGAGACRAGGAGAGCGUUCAGCUGGUCCGGGCUCGCUUCCCUUCAGUGUGCGCAGGAGCGCGACUUCUGCGCUGGACUCGCUCCCGGGCCUCGUAUUUAUUGUUUCAUUUGUUGUUUUGUAAUGGGUUUUCUAAAGUUUUGCUAUGGAUUUCAAAUGCAUAGCUGAGAAGUUAAUGAUCGUCUAACUUUCUUGGGGGACGGGGAAGAGGAAUGGAAAAGCAGGGAGGGAGACUUCCUCCUGCGCUGGCUGUAGUGAGAGGAGGAACUGUAGGAAGGCCGUGAAUUAAGUGUUCCACAGAGAAGCAACACGCUUGGGCACUUCUGCAAUAAACACUGCGUUAUUAACA
ensembl:lncRNA myo-inositol 2-dehydrogenase-like